rnacentral:rRNA from 1 species
UAAGACGAAGGAUGCAAGCGUUAUCCGGAUUCAUUGGGUUUAAAGGGAGCGUAGGUGGCCUUAUAAGUCAGUGGUGAAAUCUCUCGGCUUAACCGAGAAAUUGCCAUUGAUACUGUAGGGCUUGAGUAUAGUUGCCGUUGGCGGAAUAUGACAUGUAGUGGUGAAAUACAUAGAGAUGUCAUAGAACACCGAUUGCGAAGGCAGCUAACGAAACUAUAACUGACACUGAGGCUCGAAAGUGCGGGGAUCAAACAGGAUUAGAUACCCUGGUAGUCCGCACUGUAAACGAUGAUUACUCGCUGCUAGAGGGCAACUUUUAGUGGCUUAGCGAAAGCGAUAAGUAAUCCACCUGGGGAGUACGCCGGCAACGGUG